rnacentral:lncRNA from 1 species
CGGGACAUAGCUGCUUGUGAUGUUUAGUUGUGUGUUAGCUAACUGUUUGUGUCAGUGCUGAGAAGCUUUCUUGCUGUGUUGCAUGUAUUGGGUGGUGAUGCCUUUUGUAGUGUUAAUAAUAAUAAUAAUAACCCCCCUCCUGAUUCCCGCUAUGCUGCUCCAAAGUGGCGGUGGGGUGUACAUGGGUAGAAUGGGCAAUGCACAUCAGAAAUUUAUUUCUAGUAAGGUCACCCAAGGCAAGAAGGCUAUUCCAUUAUGCUCAACUAAAUGUAAGCAGUUGCCCCCACUUCAUUCAUGUUU